CUGGAAGCAGCGCGAGCCGUUUCUCACGCCAGAGCCCUCGGCGGAGCGCACAGACGAGAUCACACGAUGACCGGUGAAAGGAUGGGGCUGCCAGACAGCUCGCUGGUCGGCCCUUGGGGCGGGUCCGCGGCCUCGGUGACCCACACUAGGGCUGGUCCUGUCACCCUGUGUCCCACUCCAGAGCACCGGACUGAGACGCGGAACACUGAGAGGACAUCGCUGCGGGUCAGCGCAGUUGUGGGAGGCGUUCUGGAGGACGUUGUGGGCGAGCAGUGAACUGGCUAACUUUGAGCAGAGGAAGAGAUCAUUUCGUAACUUGAGCCGAAGUGCAAAAGCAGACACAGUCGAGGCACUCUGGCUGUUCAGAGCAAGACCAGUCCAAAUGCCAUUUGUAUUUCAGUACACGUGCAAGGAAAGCCAGUGGAGAGGAUCCUAAACCCCACGGGGACGCAAGGAGACUGCAUGGUGCGGAUAGCAUCCCUACGCUGAGGAUUGGGAGGGGAGCAGCCCGAUUCUCUCACAUAGACCAAAAGAAGGACAUCUCCCAGAAGAGUCUCUUAAUAUUUUAUCAGAGCUUUGAUUUGGCUUAGUGCUGAUGAUCACCUAAGUGCUAAUCCUGUCUGGACACUGGCUCCCUCAUCAUUCCCAAAGAAGAACACUUCAAAAUACAAAACUUGAUCGUGGACUUGAUGUCUGACGCUGCUCCAGUGGAGUUUAGCCUUCAAGGUUCUGCAGGGAGUCGAGUUGGCAUUUUCUCAAGGGCGGAAGGAGGCCUAUUGUUCCCUCCCGUGACUACGCAGCUACCUUGAGCUCUGCACUCAUUUACUCACUCAUGCAGUGAGCAUGUGAGGCCCAGUUUUAGGCUCAGAGAGGCCAAGAUGCUUAGCCGCGGCCACGGCACACCUCACUGCAGCUGGCCAUCAACAGCACGCCUCGUCUCCUUAGGCCACAGUGUUCCACAGUCUACAAAUAAACCCUGGGCUGUCUCCCCUGCACCAGCUCAAGAAAUGUUUCAAAUAUAAUGAAAUAAAACUUCUUUGUGCCACCUAAUGAAGUUCUCAAGUGCACGUUGGGGUGACCACCGCCUAAGGCAAGAAACAGAAGAUCCCUGGCACUCUGGCACCGCCUCCUGAUCAGGACCCUUCCCUCUCUACAAUUCUGAUGUCGUCAUACACAUACUAAAAUCUAUACGGUCAGUUUUGAUGGUUUGGGCUCUAUGUAAAUGGAACCAUUCUGUAGGAAUCAUUUGUCUUUCUCUCUCUUCAGUCAACACUGUGAAGUUGGUGCUUACAGCUCUCAUGUUUAUUUUUUAGGGUCAAGUUUGUCAUCCUUUCUAUUCAUGGACAUUUAAUUUGUUUCCAGCUUUGGGAAAUGAUAGACAGUGUGGUCAUGGACAUUGUCUUCUAUGUAUCCUGGUAGACGUGGAUUGCUGGGAAUAACAGAGCUCGACUUUCUUCAGUUUAGCUAUGUAAUACCGCACCCUCCACAGAUAGGUUACAAACUGACAUUCUCACCAGUGUGGGAAGGUCCAGAUGCACCAACAAUUGACAUUGUCAGGCUUUUACAAUGUUGUUAGUCUGAAGGGUGUUUAACAGUACCUCGUUUUAAAUUUGCAUUUCCCUGAGUAAUACAAGGUUGAGUAAUUUCUAAUUUAUUAGCCAUUUUGGAUUUCUUCUCUGAAGAAGUGCUUCCCUUUAAGACUUUUGCCUAUGAUUUUUACUCACUGAUUUGUUGUUUUUCAUAUAGUUUAGAAUUCUGCAGUCUGAGAUGUUAGCCACUAGUCUCGGAUGGUAAUAUAAAUUAAUAGAAAAUUCAGUUCCUUACUUACACUAUCCAUAUUUCAAAUGCUCAAUGGCUACAUGGGGCUGGUAGCUACUUUAUGGGAUGGCAGAGAACUACAGAAUGUCCCCCCUUACAGCAAUUUCUACAGGAAAUUUCUACAAUUUCUACAGGAGAGAGACUACAGAACAUUUCUGACCUCACACAAAGCUCUCUAGGACAGGACAGAACUAGAGAGCAUUCCAUUGUACAGCCAAUCCCACCGCACGAUGUUGCUCUAGACACUUGUCUCUGUUGCGCGUGCAUUACAGGUAUCUCCCCACAUUCAGGGCCUGUCCAUUAGUUCUUCCGUGGUUCUUUUGAUGAAUGAAUAUUUUGAGUUUAACCAAUUUGUCCUUUUUGGAUAGGGCUUUUUUUUCCUUUAGGAAUUUCUUCCUAUCCCAAGGUCAUGAGGAUGUUCUUUCGUGCAUCUGGAACUGCUUUUGUGUAUAGAGAGAGAACUGUUCAUACAAGUGCAGCCGUGAGGAACCUCUUCCUCUCCCACCAUCACUGCGGGAGCCCAGGACUUUCUCAAACCAACCCUCCCCCCACCCGCCCCACUUCUAGACAUGUCAGCCGGAGUGAUCC